rnacentral:rRNA from 1 species
UCCAAUCGAACCCGGAGAUAGCUGGUUCUCCCCGAAAUAGCUUUAGGGCUAGCGUUGUAUUAGAUUUCUGGGGGUAAAGCACUGAAUAGGCUAGGGGCCGAGAGGUUACUGAACCUUAUCAAACUAAGAAUACCAGAAAAUUGAUGUACAGCAGUCAGACUAUGUGAGAUAAGUCUCAUAGUCAAAAGGGAAACAGCCCAGACCCACAGCUAAGGUCCCAAAACAGAUUUAAGUGGAAAAGGAUGUGGGAUUGCCCAGACAACCAGGAUGUUGGCUUAGAAGCAGCCACACAUUAAAAGAGUGCGUAAUAGCUCACUGGUCGAGUGAUCCUGCGCCGAAAAUUCAACGGGGCUAAAAUUUGUACCGAAGCUUGGGCUUGAUACAUUCGUAUCAGGGGUAGGGGAGCGUCAUGUAUGAGGAGAAGUCAUAGCGGAAGCGGUGGUGGAUUGUACAUGAGAGAGAAUGCCGGAAUGAGUAGCGAGAAUUAUGUGAGAAUCAUAAUGGCCGAAAAUCUAAGGUUUCCUGAGGAAGGUUCGUCCGCUCAGGGUAAGCCGGGAGCUAAGGUGAGGCGGAAACGCGUAGCCGAUGCACAUACGGUAGAGAUUCCGUAGCCUCCGAAAAGUAAAGCACAGGGACGCUUCAGAAGUGUUACGCCGGGCGAUGGUUGCCCCGGUUGUAAAGGACACAAUUGAGUGGAAGGUAACAUGGAUGGAGACAAGAAAAGCUGUGUGUAUCUGGAAGGAGCCCGUACCGCAAACCGACACAGGUAGAUAGGAAGAAGAUUCUAAGGCCAGCGGGAGAAGGGUUGUUAAGGAACUCGGCAAGUUGACCCCGUAACUUCGGGAGAAGGGGUGCUUACGAAGGUAAGCCGCAGAGAAUAGGCUCAAGCAACUGUUUAGCAAAAACACAGCUCUAUGCUAAAUCGAAAGAUGACGUAUAUGGGGUGACACCUGCCCGGUGCUGGAAGGUUAAGAGGAGAUGUGAGAGCAUUGAAUUGAAGCCCCAGUAAACGGCGGCCGUAACUAUAACGGUCCUAAGGUAGCGAAAUUCCUUGUCAGGUAAGUUCUGACCCGCACGAAAGGUGUAACGAUUUGGGCACUGUCUCAACAACCUACCCGGCGAAAUUGUAGUACCGGUGAAGAUGCCGGUUACCCGCGACUAGACGGAAAGACCCCAUGGAGCUUCACUGUAGCUUAAUAUUGAAUUUUGGUAUUUCAUGUACAGGAUAGGUGGGAGACUGGGAAAUACAGGCGUCAGCUUGUAUGGAGUCACUGUUGGGAUACCACUCUUGAGGUGCUGAAAUUCUAACCUGCGUCUUUGAAUCAAGACGGGGGACAUUGUUAGGUGGGCAGUUUGACUGGGGCGGUCGCCUACUGAAAAAAGACCAAUCACAAAAGGAAAAGCAAU